UACCGGUCCUGUGAGUUAAAAGGGAACCCAGUGUAAAUCUGGGGCUGACGCGCAGCGGUAAGGAAGGUGAGAGGGGAGCGCACCUGGUGCAGACACUGCGGCUUGUCGUGGGAAGUCAUCCUCUCUUUUAUAUAGCCUCCAAGCCCGAAGACCUGCCGGAUGAC
rnacentral:ncRNA from 1 species